CAACAUCACAUAGAAUCAUGCACACGCACUUGCGUUAACGCGGCGUCGACUCGCGUCUCAUUUGCGGCGAAAGCUACCGCAAAGUCACCGCUUUUCCCCACAGGAACGCAGCGUGCACGCGAGUAUUUUUUUGACAUUUCUCUAUUCUUUUUCUUUCCAACAAGAUUUCUAGUGGGAAAAUCUGCAGAAAGAAUCUGUCAGAGCGAAAUCAAAACAAACAAAAAUACUUCGCAAAUCAGUUCAUUUUGGUUUCGCAAAUUAGUUUGCAAAUAACAAAACGUUUCAAAUCUAACUUCUUUAAAUAAUAGUGCUAGUAAUAGUUCGGAGCAGCAAGUGUUUCUUUCGCUCCUAUGGUAAUACCAGCCGUGAUCAACACACCUUUGGAAAGAAGUGAUAAGCAAACAUCCCAGGCUGGCGAAUAGUGUUAAAGUCAACCGAAAUAUGUGCGCGAUAGUGACGUUGAUUGUACCAACUUUAUCAGAAUAAAUUGAUUUCCGAACAGACGGCGAUGUGACAGUUUUGGACUGAAUGACGGAGCAGGCAAAAUUCAACCAACAAGGUGUAUUCCGCGGGACCCUGUAUACACCAAGGCAGACGAUACCAAUUCCAUGGGAAAAAUAAUAAAUAUAAACAUGUUUUUAGGAAUGUUGACGGAAGGAUGUCGUCAAACAAUGUGGAUUGCAAUUGCAAAAAGAAAUGGGACCACAUGAUGAGAUGGUGGCGAGCCAUAGUAAGACUCCGGGAUCAGUGCGACUCUUCUAGUGUUGUGGGCAACGCUAUUGCGAUCGGUCCGUGUUGCAGUGGAGUGAAAAUCGGCUACAGUAUCUGACCAAAAUGUUUAAUGAAUUUUUAUUCCAGAACAAAAUGAUUCGUCCCUAUUUAGCCGAUAAAUUAAAUUAAUAAAGAAUCGUACCCCAAAGACAACAUAUGAUGGAUUCAAGAUAAGAACAAUUAAAUGUCUGGAUCCACAAUUAUUCAAGAUUAAUCUACCCCUAUGAAGUAAAAAAUUUAAGUUGAAAAUAAAGAAUAAAGAACAUUAUGAAAUUAUAACAAUAAUUAUUUAUUAUAAUUGUAGAAAAUAUAUUGGGAUAAAGCAAAGCAAUGUCAAA